ensembl:lncRNA
CAGGGUGUUGGAGUCCCAGCCCAAAGGUUCAGGGUCCAAACACCACUGCCAGAAGCCCUACCUCCCUACUUAUUAAUAUGACUCGGGAAAAAGAAUCAGACUAAGUCACUUUAGAGGACAGUGUUUGCUAAAUGACUGAACUUAAGGUUAAACCUUGAUGUCUCUGUUGUACUGUCAAUGUGAAGCAAUCUGUUCAUUCUCUCCUGGUGGGAAGUUAGAUUGGGAAGUUAGAGACGGCAGAGAAGCAAAAACCACUCACGUUUUUGCCUCAUCUCAUUGGUUCCCAUGAAAUGCCCAAUGCCCAAUCUGCAGAGGUGUCAGCACUUGAACCAUUUGAGUCGCAAAUAAUGAGAACAUUUUUAUUCUCUUUUAAGUCAAGAAGGUACAUUAUCCACAAGAUUGUCUCUUAUCUUUAACAGAUUGUACAUCAUACCAAUUAUGAAUGUGAGGUUUUACAUUGUCCCCUACUUUAAAGCAAUAAUUCAGCUCUUGUGUUUCAAGCUUUUUCCUUUUAAUUGGAAAAUGAAUCUGGACUAGAAUAAAUCGAGUUGAGAAAAUGUAGGCCUUCUUUUCUCAAAAUAUCUUUAUACUUUCAUCAAUAUAUAUUUUACCUGCAAAUAUUUAAAUAUAUUAAGUUUGGAUACAACGUAUCAGAUGUUUAAUACAUUAUCUUCACUGUAUAUUUAGAUGUUGACCAAAAAUGCAGUGGCGGAGUUUAGCCUCUAUGGGCCAGUGUUGUAUUGUAAACGUAUCUUGGUCACCAUUUGUUUAGCAAUAGAUUAAUAAUUACGCUACAGCAUUUUCUAAAAAUAUUAAUAUAAAUUCUUGAACAUGAAGACUCAAACCUAAAAUCUAUUUUUUUUUUUGUCGGUAUGGUACGAUGUAAACUGGAAUUUUAAACAGUAAAACAAGGGUACAAUUAUAAAGACUGCAAUUAAAUUGUGUUUGUGAAUAUGUGUGUUUGUUGUGUGUAUGUGCAUAAAUCCACAUGGCUGGAACCUUAAGAAUGUUUGUAAAACCAAAAAAUAUAAAAUACAAUUCCUUAAAAAAAACAAAUGAAUACAGACAUGCAUCCAAGCAAGUUUCACAUGCAGAAUAGUGGAAAAUACUAUUAAUAAUUAAAUAAAGUUACACAUGCAGAAUAGUAUAAAAUACAUAGCAGUUAUGAUAUGUUAAGAAUUACGCAUGCAGAAUAAUGCUUUUAGGGAACAAGCUAUCACAAGUAUUGGAUUGUUUCAGUUUCUAUCCACACAGGGAGCCACCAUGGACAAAAACAGAGGAAACAAUAAAUACUAUUUAUAAUAAAAAUAAUAGCAGAGAAUUGAUGAGUGACGGAUACUACACGGUUUAAACUACAUGUGAACGGCUUCAUGAACCUACAUAUAAACAUAACAACGGCCAAAUAAACAUUAACAUUUUCAAAACAGGACUUUAAUGAAGUGGCCUUCCAGAUGCAGAGAGAGAAGUGUCCCUGGCAGGUCAAAGGUCAACAGGCUGCUGGCCCUCUGGCUAAAGGUCUGUCUACUCGUCCUUCUGGGUGUUGACAGCUCUCAGGGCCUCGUCCUCCGGGGCUGAGCGUACACACACUCGUCCACAUUGGUCUCCAGCGUCCGCCUGGGGCCUGGAGCCACCCUGACCGCCCCGUACUCCACCUCACUCUCCCCCUGCCCUCCCGGUCGCCCCGGAGACGUUAACGUACAGCACAUCAUCAUCUACUGCCAUGGAGGACAGCGCGAUGUCUGAACAAACAGAACAUUAGAAAAUGAGAGAACAGCACGGGAGGUAAAGCUUGUGUAGAACAGUUGACCCAAAGAGACACUUGGUACCUCGAGGGCUGGAGGUUUUCUUCUUCUUUAGGGCCCAGUAGACUCCCAAUGCUGCUAGGAGCAGCAGCACCACCGUCAGAGAACGAACGAUGAACGGGAUGAGCCCUGUCACAGAGACAACUAUGGCACAGAG